GUCUGGUUAGUGUUAUUUGGUCUGGUUAGUGUUAUUUUGGUCUGGUUAGUGUUUAUUACGGUCCGGUUAGGGUUAUUAUGGUCUGGUUUGUUAUUAUGGUCUGUUAGUGUUAUGUAUUCUGGUUAGUGUUAUUAUGGUAAUAUCCAUGACCACUGGUAGGUUGUAUUAUGUCUUGUUAGUUGUUUAAUAUGUUGGUAUGUUUAUAGGUCGGUUAUGUUAUUAUGGUCUGUUAUUUUUUUUUAUGGUCUGGUUAGUGUUAUUAUGGUAUGGUAGUGUUAUUAUGGUCUGGUUAGUGUUAUUAUGGUCUGGUUAGUGUUAUUAGGGUAAUAUUCCAUCCCAUGGUUAGUGGUUAUUAUGUCUGGUUAGUGUUAUUAUGGUCUGGUUUAGUGUUAUUAUGGUCUGGUUAUGUUUUUAUGGUCUGGUUAGUGUUAUUUGGUAUGUUAGUGGUAAUUAUGGUCUGGUUAGUGUUAUUAUGGUCUGGUUAUUGUUUUUAUGGUCUGGUUAGUGUUAUUAUGGUCUGGUUAGUGUUAUUAUGGGCUGGUUAGUGUUAUUAUGGUCUGGUUAGUGUUUGUUAUGGUAAUAUCCAUACCACUGGUUGGUGUUAUUAUGGUCUGGUUUAGUGUUAUUAUGGUCUGGUUAGUUAGGUCUGGUAGUGUUAUUAUGGCAUAUCCUACCACUUUA
rnacentral:lncRNA from 1 species